CCUUAUCUGUGUAUGAAACGGGACCUGCUUUCUUUCUUGAAGGGGCACACUUAUGACAGUUCAAAAUCCCAAUUCUUGUAAAAGGCAAUGAUGCCAUUUUCCACCUCCAAUCCCCAGCCAUCCAAGUAGUGGUUCAUAUUGGGAACUGCUGCCUUCAAACCGGUGCCAAUGUAGGAAUCUAUGCUUUUCCCCCCAACUUUGGAAAUUGUGCACGACUACUGUACAAAUUUAAUGAUCACAUGGGUUAAACAUGGGCAAAUAAGAUUGGGUAGAUGGGCAUCUUGUUCGGCAUGGACGCGUUGGGCCUAAGGACCUGUUAUUGUGUUAAAUGACUCUAAAUGCACAGAAGGCCCUUCAUUCAUAAUUCUGCACAUGAUGUGUUGAACGUUGUGGCCACUAGGAAAGAUAAUCUUGCAUGCACUGAACCCCCACACCCAGGUUCUUUGUGUAUCAAUGUAUGGCAGAUCUCUUAAGCUGAAGAAGGGUCUCGACCCGAAAUGUCGCCCACUCCUUCUCUCCAGAGAUGCUGCCUGUCCCGCUGAGUUACUCCAGCAUCUUAUGUCUCUAUCUUUGAUUUAAACCAGCAUUUGCAGUUAUUUCCUUCAGAUUUCUUAAGCCUUUGUUUUUUGAGCUUGCAAAGAUGUGACCCGAAAUUGGAAAUUUUGUACCCCCAACUUUUCUUUUUAAAGUCUGUUUUUGCUCCUAGCUUGUUUAUUCCAACUGGCUUAUUGAAUAGAGCCAUCAGUUUAUUCACCACUUCAUGGGUGUUUGCACAAGUAAUUAUUCUACCACAUGAACAAGGAGAUAUUCCAGUUCAAACAAUCUAAGCACAUCUAUACCAGCCUAGGUACUUACAUUUUUUUUUAAAAGGUAUUAAUUGAUUUUUGUCCCUUUAUAACGGUGAUGCAGUUGAGCGAAAAUAGCCAAAUCUAGGGAGCUACAAUUUUUAGUCUACAAAUGCAUCGCUUGUCAAAAUGAAUAUAUUCACCUCAGAAAAUUUGAGGAUAUUAUAUUGGCAGAGAUUUUAAUCUGCGAAUUCUCACCUGCAGAUUAGCAAGAAAAUGAGGUACUUGUUGCCAUAACCAGCAGUUGUCCCAGUUUCAUUGCAGUGAGACAGCCUCCAAUUAUCUGUCUUUAGUCUAUCACUGGAUUUCUAUUCCAAGUCAGCUUUGUGAUCAUUACAUUUUCAUUUCAUUUCCCGGUAAUGAUUGCAAAAUAAGCUAACAAGCAGAGCACAAGUUUUUUAAAGUAUUAAAUUGCACAAAUACCCUUCUAACUUUGCUGUUUUGCUGACCAUAAGACAACCAGAAAGGAGGGGGUUCAAUUAUUUCCUACACUGAUAGUGGGUUUUGUGAACUUGCCGGUUUGGAUAUUUAGUUUCUAUCAUGAAUGGCUUUGCCAAAGUGCUUUUUGCUUUAUAUGAACCAUUUGUUUCAUGAAAAGCCAAACGCCUCAUUUUAUGUAUAACUUAUUUUCACUCAAUAAAUAACGUACUUCAUUAUUAACGAACACAACAAAUUAAUGCUAUACCUGAAAUGGUACUCUCAUUGGAUUUUGAGAUAAAUUUACCGUGGUCUGAGUGUCUUUUUUGAAUUUGCCAUUUUUCAACACCAUUCAUUCAUACCACCAGGUCACUAAUUCUUCAUUGUCGCACUAAAUAAAACAUCUCGUUUGAUUUGAUACUUGAACGUGAGGAGAGAUUGUUGGAGGCAAAUCUUACUCUUAUAAAGUUUUGCCUGGGAAGUGUUUAGUGGUAUUGAUGCCACUUCCAUCUCGCAGUAUCUUAUUGGAAAGAAUUUAACAGAAAUAAGUUUUUAAUACAAUUGGCUCAAUGUUCAUGUUUUAAAAUAUGAUCACCAGAUAACUUUAUAUUUGGAAUAGUGGAACAAUUUGUGGCUGUUUGGCUGAGCUAUAAUUUACUGAAGCAAAAUAUUAUUGAGCAUGAUUACAAAGUUGACUGAACACGUGCAAUAUUAGAUUAUGUUCCACAGUUCUGUUAAAAUGUGAACUUAUUAGGCAAUAAAAUUAAGGGGAAAGGUAUCCAAAUUAAAUUUCAAAAAUUGUACCUAUUUCUUACAAAUAAUUAUGUCCACGAUAAAUCCACUUUUGGGUCAGUUUCCAAAGGACAAGGAUUAGAUGGCAAUUAAAACACAGUUGCUGAGAUUGAUGCCAUCUGUCCCACAAAACAGGAAUGAGAAGGAAAUGAACUUUUUGAAUGGAGAAAAGUUGACAUAAAUAUUCUGACUGAUGUUUAUAACUGUGUAACGUCUGCUCAGUAUAAUUUUGUUUUGGUUUGGGAAAAAUACUGCAUAGACGUCUUUUUUCUCUGGAUUUGCUAAACGGAUAAUCCUGUGCUUGCUGACUUGUGCGGUCAAUUGGAUUUCCACAAAAUUUGGCGCGAACUUUAAAAUAUUUGUGCUGAAGAGCUGACUUGUGACAUCCUUGCCACUUCUUUUUAAAACAAAUCAAUCUCUCCUGGCAGUAAACUGUCAAAGCUGCUGUUUAACCUUGUUUUAUUACUUUCUGACAUGCACAGCAUAGGAAUAUUCGAUCACAUUCUUGAUUUUGUAGUGUUCAUUUGUUAAGUUUAUUUAUUGUCCAAAAUGUGAAUCUGUUGUAGAGUUUGAGCUUUUUUAAUAUAUGGAGAAGGGCGGAAGGGGGCUAGAAUUUUGUGACUUUUUUGUUUCACCUUACUUUUAAUCUACUCAUUUAACAAAUGGCUCCACUGUUUGAACAGAAUUCUCUGCCCUACUCAAAGCUUUUGUUGAUGAUCGAAUUUGCUGCUUCUCUGGGGCUUGUACAAUUAUCAUGUUUUGACAUACACAUUCCAUCCUCAUGAAAGCUUGUGAAACCAGGAUAGUAUCACUUACUGUAUCUUUCUAUGUUUAAUUUCUGACUGAAGUUACAAUCAUUCCAUCUGUUUGGAGGAAUACGGUCAUCGGAGGAGAAUUAAGACUUUUUGAAAUCUGAGUUGAUGCUUGUGCUGAAUCAAACUCUGUCCACAAUGACCAAAUGCUUCUGACCAACCUGCCAUCAGCCAUCUGAUUAAUUCAAGUGUGAUAUCUCCCUGAUGAAGUGAAAAAUAUUAUUGUUCAGACUCUUGUCAUUACGCUGUAUGCUUUGUUUUUUUGUGAAAUGGUUGAAUAUUUGAAAUGUCCUGAUAACUUUAAUGAAACCUUUUCAAAUCAGCACUUUAAAAAAAGAAAAUCGCACACACACGCAUUUACACAAUGCCCCAGCAUCAUUCUCUGAAAUAUCCCAGAGCACUUCAUAUACAAAUAUUUAUUUUUGAAAAGCAGUCAUGGAAGUUAUGUAGACCUUUUUUAGCCCAAUGAAGCCAAUGCAAACUCCAAGUUUUCUUUUACCCUACCAUCACCCACAGCAUCAUUGUCAAAUACUUUCUUCUCCUUAAAUUCAGUUCUGCUAUUUACCUCAAUUGCCCAAGGUACCACAUUCCACUUUCUAGCCACAUCCAUCAAAUCAAGACAAAGACAUGCUUUUUGACGGUUAAUUGGUUUAUUAAUCGGUUUUAAAGGUGUUCAUUGAAAGGAAGGUUAGUUAGGAUACUGGAAAUGCUCCUUAAGAAAGAACUGCAGAUGCUGUAAAAUCAAAGAUAGACAAAAAUGCUGGAGAAACUCAGCAGGUGAAGCAGCAUCUAUGGAGUGAAGGAAUAGGCGACGUUUCGGGUCAACCGGAAACGUCGCCUAUUCCUUCUCUCCAUAGAUGCUGCCUCACCCGCUGAGUUUCUCCAGCAUUUCUGUCUACCUUGCAUCUUAAUUAAUAAGUUUUAUAACUUAUCAGAAAAAGCAAGUUAAUAAGCAGCUGUGAUCUGUAAUGUCAAAUAAGCUCUGAAAUUGUUCAAAUAUAAUGACCAACAAAAAUAGUGAUGCUUGAUUCUGAAUUCAGCUCAUUGCAUUUUCACAUAUCUUGGUUGGAUUGUAUUCAUGAUUGCAUUCAUGUCUAGUAUUAUCUGAUUUAAUUGGCUAGCAUGCAAACAAAAGCUUUCCACUACCUCGGUACAUGUGACAAUCGACCAAUACCAAUUGAAUCGGUAUCAGGAUUAAAACCUUUCACUGAAUCCAAUAAAUUUAACUAAAUCCGACUAAAGUAUUUUAAAAUAUCCUUGUCUGCAAUUUUAAUCUGUGCAAUUUCAUUGGAUCUUGGACAGCAAUAAUUGGAUACUCAUUUGUUCAAAUGUUACUCCUUGAUCAAUUUUCGCCAAGUGUUAAUGCACCGAUGGAAGAAUAAACAUCUAAUGGAGAUAAGCUAAAUUCUGUUGAAAAUCCUUGAGUAAAUUCAGUGUUCCAUUAUGAACACGUGCAGUGCUCUGUCUUGAUCUGAUCUCUAUGAAUUUUCUAUAUAUUAACAACACAAAGAUGGGACACAACAUGCUACCAGGAAAUUACUCAUUGCUGUCUGAUUGAUUUUAAUGUAUUGCUUCAUUUGGUAUAAAUCAAAAGAGGUAACAUUACCGAUAGUGUAUCAGCCUCUCGGGCUAACGCUAGGCAAGGCUCCCUAGGCAAGGUCAGUAAAUCUUCUUUUAAAACAAUUCUUUCUCACAUUUUCCCCCCACUCAUUAACAUACUUGACAUAACUACUUGGUACAAUUUUCAUGUCUGAAAAACAAAUGUGUGAGCUAGGAAUUUUGCUGUUUGCUGUUCUCAUAGUUUGAUUUUUUUCAGGAAAACUUCCUUAAACAUGCCAUAAAUUACACAAUUUUUAUUACAGCUGCACCUUUGUAGUACUAGCAUUAAAGAAUUUAUGCUAUUGUGAAUAGUUGAACGCUUAGUUGAACUUAUUCCAAAACUAACAGUGAAGAACUAUUCAACGGAGUUACGGGAUCAUGAAUGGCUAUAUUUCCUUAGCUCAGAAGACUGGAAGAUAACUUCUGAAAAUUGCUGUAAGAGACAAGAUAAGGGCUUGUGUUUUAUUGCCAAGAGAGUGAGCAGUUGCGUCCAUCGCCACCAAGAGUGGCUCCCACAUCUCUCCCGGUGAAGUUUAUCGCAGUAAAAUCCUGAACUGAAUGUAUUUUGGCAGCUGUUCCCAUCAAGAGGGAAAUCUAUUUCUUCACCUCUUUCUGUGCUUGACAUUUGGGAUAUUGCCUACCUAGACUUGUUUAAUCUAAAGCAUUUGGUCAUGACGUGUAGCAUUUGUACUGCACAAACAAAUAUUCAUGAAAUGCUUGGGUUGUGUGACGAUUUUAUCUUUUCAAUUUGUGUUCCCUAUUAUGAUUCUCCAAAGACCACGCUGACCAUGUUCCGACUAUUUCCUUAAGGGCCUGUCCCACUGUACGAGGUAAUUCAAGAGUUCUCCCGAGUUUCCCCCGAUUCGAACUCGGAGAAUUACGGUAAUAGCCGCUCGUAGGUACUCGGGGCUCUCGUGGGCAUUUUUCAACAUGUUGAAAAAUCUUCACGAGCUUACCGCGUUUCCCGAGUACCUGCCAUUAGCGUUACGAGCCGCUAAGAGACGUCCUGAGCUCCGACGUACCUGCUACGUAUAUUCUACGUACUUAUCACGAGUGAUUUUUUUUAAACUCGAGAGAGCUCUUGAAUUACCUCGUACAGUGGGACAGGCCCUUUACUCCUUUUGUCACCAAUUCAUAAUUUGAUACAAUUAGUUUUCUGUUAUAAAAUUAAGAGAACUGAAUUGUACCUCGGCAUGUUUUAAGUUGAGAUGCUAUUUGGUGAUUCUAUAACCUUAAUCACAAUUUAUGAUCAGAUGAAAACGGUAAGGUUUCUCUCAUCUUGCUUACAAACGUUUGCACUAAAAGGCCUGAAAGGUGUGAACAUGCCACACAACCAGCAAAAAAGGACCAGCAUUUUAAUCAUGACCAAUACUUUAGGUCUGUGAAUAAGUGUAGCUCACCUUCCAGUAAUAUAUUACAUUUGAAUGAUGUCUGUCAUUUUCAGCUUUGUUCUUUAUCAAUUCAUUGAUUUAAAAAUAAAUAUGUAUUUUAGAGAAAAAAA